rnacentral:lncRNA from 1 species
AUGUUAUUGCCUCUCCUCUGCAUCAGGAGCUCUGGGAAUCCCUCACUUGAUGUAUUUGCAGUGACAAGUCCCACCGGUGGAAGACGAUGGCCGUGCUGUACUGAAGGCCCCCGCUGCAUUUCUAACCACAAGUGAAACUGCACAUAGGCUGGUGGCUGUUCUGCCUGCAGUUCACAGGUCUUCAGAGUAAGACUCAGCUUACCACAUGGAGCAGUAAGCUAAUGCUUAGAUUUCAUUCAUGCACUUAAAGUAAAAAAAUGUUUACCCUGCAUGUUCAUACUCCUGUCAGCUUUGAGAGCAGCAAAG